rnacentral:piRNA from 1 species
UAGGUAGAUGACAGUUUGUUCCUCAGUGU